rfam:Oryza barthii chromosome 7, whole genome shotgun sequence.
AAUACUUGUCGCUUUGAGUUUUUGUUUGUAACGUUUGACCAUUCGUCUUAUUUAGAAAAUUAUGGAAUAAUUAUUUAUUUUAUUUGUGACUUGCUUUAUUAUUAAAAGUACUUUAAGUAUAACACUUAUCAUUUUUUAUAUUUGCACUAAUUUUUCAAAUAAGACGAAUGGUCAAACGUUGCAAGCAAAAAGUCAAAACGACCACUAAC